UACGUAGGGGGCUAGCGUUGUCCGGAAUCAUUGGGCGUAAAGCGCGUGUAGGCGGUCCGGUAAGUCCGCUGUGAAAGUCGGGGGCUCAACCCUCGAAAGCCGGUGGAUACUGUCGGGCUAGAGUACGGAAGAGGCGAGUGGAAUUCCCGGUGUAGCGGUGAAAUGCGCAGAUAUCAGGAAGAACACCCGUGGCGAAGGCGGUUCUCUGGAACGCAACUGACGCUGAGACGCGAAAGCGUGGGGAGCAAACAGG
rnacentral:rRNA from 1 species